UAAUAACUUUCGUAUUAAAAGAAGAUUUGAGGAGACAAGAGAGGUCAAUUUUUUUAUUUUUUGGACAAUUGAGAGGGUCAAUUUUUAUUAUAAGAAGGGAGGGGGUUAAUUUUUGUUUUAACAUAUACAAUACACACUUUAACACAAAUACACAUCCACACACACAAUUUACGCACACCCACAUCUUCUCAUCUCCCACAAAAAAAGUCGUUGCCCACCUUCUUCGGCCACAUUUCAGCUGGAGAAUCACCGCACCACCACUAGCCUUCAACCACUCCUCCUCUCUUCUCUAUUCACCUCUGUUCUUCCUCCCCGUCGCCGCUUCCCGCUGAUUUAACCAGUGCCGAUCCAGCAACACCAAUUGCCGCCACCCCAUUUCCUUCUCCACUGUUGCUUUACCGGAGUUAGCCACCGGUUCUCGAGAAUACUCGCCGGGAAUGAUAUUCAAAGAAGAGCUUGAAUUUUUUUGUAUUUGUAUUUUCUUUUAUUCUUAUCAUUGUACAAAUAUUAAUUAUAGUGAAAUCUUUAUUUUUGGGGCGCUGGGUGGGGAUGUUCUUUAU